rnacentral:rRNA from 1 species
UGCGCGGAAGAUGUAACGGGCUAAAACUAUGUGCCGAAGCUGCGGAUGUAUACUUUGUAUACGUGGUAGGGGAGCGUUCUGUAAGCCGAUGAAGGUGUGUUGAGAAGCAUGCUUGAGGUAUCAGAGUGCGAAUGCUGACGUGAGUAACGACAAAACGGGUGAAAAACCCGUUCGCCGAAAGACCAAGGGUUCCAGUCCAACGUUAAUCGGGGCUGGGUGAGUCGACCCCUAAGGCGAGGCCGAAAGGCGUAGUCGAUGGGAAAAUGGUUAAUAUUCCAUUACUUCUGUGUAAUGCGAUGAGAGGACGGAGAAGGCUAAAUCAGCCUGGCGUUGGUUGUCCAGGUGAAAGGAUGUAGGCAUGUAUCUUAGGCAAAUCCGGGGUACUCUAUGCUGAGAUCUGAUAGCAAGCUGUACUUGUACAGCGAAGUGGUUGAUGCCAUGCUUCCAGGAAAAGUCUCUAAGCUUCAGUUACACAGGAAUCGUACCCGAAACCGACACAGGUGGUCAGGUCGAGUAGACCAAGGCGCUUGAGAGAACUCUGCUGAAGGAACUAGGCAAAAUGGUACCGUAACUUCGGGAGAAGGUACGCUGUUGUUGGUGAUGGAACUCGCUUCCUGAGCUGACGACAGCCGCAGAAACCAGGCCGCUGCAACUGUUUAUUAAAAACAUAGCACUCUGCAAACACGAAAGUGGACGUAUAGGGUGUGAUGCCUGCCCGGUGCUGGAAGGUUAAUUGAUGGGGUUAGCGUAAGCGAAGCUCUUGAUCGAAGCCCCAGUAAACGGCGGCCGUAACUAUAACGGUCCUAAGGUAGCGAAAUUCCUUGUCGGGUAAGUUCCGACCUGCACGAAUGGCAUAAUGAUGGCGGCGCUGUCUCCAGCAGAGGCUCAGUGAAAUCGAAAUCGCUGUGAAGAUGCAGUGUACCCGCGGCUAGACGGAAAGACCCCGUGAACCUUUACUGCAGCUUGACACUGAACUUUGACCUUACUUGUGUAGGAUAGGUGGGAGGCUUUGAAGCUGGAACGCUAGUUCCAGUGGAGCCGUCCUUGAAAUACCACCCUGGUAAUGUUGAGGUUCUAACUCUGUCCCGUGAUCCGGGACGAGGACCGUGUCUGGUGGGUAGUUUGACUGGGGCGGUCUCCUCCUAAAGAGUAACGGAGGAGUACGAAGGUGCGCUCAGCGUGGUCGGAAAUCACGCGUAGAGUAUAAAGGCAAAAGCGCGCUUAACUGCGAGACCCACAAGUCGAGCAGGUACGAAAGUAGGUCUUAGUGAUCCGGUGGUUCUGUAUGGAAGGGCCAUCGCUCAACGGAUAAAAGGUACUCUGGGGAUAACAGGCUGAUACCGCCCAAGAGUUCAUAUCGACGGCGGUGUUUGGCACCUCGAUGUCGGCUCAUCUCAUCCUGGGGCUGAAGCAGGUCCCAAGGGUAUGGCUGUUCGCCAUUUAAAGAGGUACGCUUUAAAACGCGAGCUGGGUUAGAACGUCGUGAGACAGUUCGGUCCUAU